GCUCACAGGAACGAAAGGCUGGGAGAAAAGGGAGGAGGUGCUGCCUUAUAUAUCAAAAAUGUUUACGCUUGGACAGGGGCUGAGGUGGAAAUAGGAGGAAGACUUGUUGAAAGGUUUCUAAUGUGGGAGCAAAGUUCACUGAGUCCUCAUCAGGAGAAAGAAAUACAGCACUUAGAUACCAAAGAUACAAAAGAAUGGACAAUCUAUUUUGCUUAUGGGCCUGCUGCUUCUCCCACUGAAGGGUGCUAUGGAAGGGGCGAUCCUGUGGGUGUUCCAAGAUCAUUGAAGAAUGCUCAUCUAUUGCUGGGUUUCUGGAGAUGGCUAGGGCAUCAUGCACACGCUGUCUCAAACUUUCCAUGAUCAUACCCAAGUCCCACGGCAGCCCACAUCCUUCAGGAGUGUGUCUGCACACCAGGAUCACAACCCUCUGGCCACAAGGCAGGUUGGAAGGUGAACAUCAGGAUUCCAUGAGGAUUAAUGCUGGCAAGGUCAGAAUUCAACUCUGAAAGAUGGAAAGACUAUUUGUGGAAGUGAAACUUGGGAAACUCCCAUCAGGAAACCUUAAAAUGUGGUUUAUAGUCAAAAUCAUCUAUGGGAACAGACACGACAAUAUGAAAAGAUCAAGCUGUACCAUGUGGCAUUUAUUUCCCAGUUUUUGAAUUCUGCAGCU